rnacentral:rRNA from 1 species
AAAUUGAAGAGUUUGAUCAUGGCUCAGAUUGAACGCUGGCGGCAGGCCUAACACAUGCAAGUCGAGCGGUAGCACAGAGAGCUUGCUCUCGGGUGACGAGCGGCGGACGGGUGAGUAAUGUCUGGGAAACUGCCUGAUGGAGGGGGAUAACUACUGGAAACGGUAGCUAAUACCGCAUAAUGUCGCAAGACCAAAGUGGGGGACCUUCGGGCCUCAUGCCAUCAGAUGUGCCCAGAUGGGAUUAGCUAGUAGGUGGGGUAACGGCUCACCUAGGCGACGAUCCCUAGCUGGUCUGAGAGGAUGACCAGCCACACUGGAACUGAGACACGGUCCAGACUCCUACGGG